UACAGAGGUCUCAAGCGUUGUUCGGAUUCAUUGGGCGUAAAGGGUGCGUAGGCGGCAGGGUAAGUUGGAUGUGAAAUCCUGGGGCUUAACCUCAGAAUUGCAUUCAAUACUGCCUUGCUAGAGAGCUGUAGAGGAGACUGGAAUUUACGGUGUAGCAGUGAAAUGCGUAGAUAUCGUAAGGAACGCCAGUGGCGAAAGCGAGUCUCUGGGCAGCAUCUGACGCUGAGGAGCGAAAGCGUGGGGAGCAAACAGG
rnacentral:rRNA from 1 species